GAUGAACGCUGGCGGCGUACCUAAUACAUGCCAGUCGAGCGAACAGACGAGGAGCUUGCUCCUCUGACGUUAGCGGCGGACGGGUGAGUAACACGUGGAUAACCUACCUAUAAGACUGGGAUAACUUCGGGAAACCGGAGCUAAUACCGGAUAAUAUAUUGAACCGCAUGGUUCAAUAGUGAAAGACGGUUUUGCUGUCACUUAUAGAUGGAUCCGCGCCGCAUUAGCUAGUUGGUAAGGUAACGGCUUACCAAGGCAACGAUGCGUAGCCGACCUGAGAGGGUGAUCGGCCACACUGGAACUGAGACACGGUCCAGACUCCUACGGGAGGCAGCAGUAGGGAAUCUUCCGCAAUGGGCGAAAGCCUGACGGAGCAACGCCGCGUGAGUGAUGAAGGUCUUCGGAUCGUAAAACUCUGUUAUUAGGGAAGAACAAAUGUGUAAGUAACUAUGCACGUCUUGACGGUACCUAAUCAGAAAGCCACGGCUAACUACGUG
rnacentral:rRNA from 1 species